rnacentral:misc_RNA from 1 species
AGGAAGAUUUGGUUUAAUAUAAGCAGCUGUAGUUUCUGGUUUGCGAGAGACAUGAUCUGAGUGUUCAUGGAUGUGUUGAAUGCUACUUUCGUUAUAGAGAAUUGAACAAGCUAUGAAGACGAGCAAGACAAAAGCAGCCAAAGGAAAAUGGGAUCUCUUCCUGCUCCAUCUCUGCAUCAUGGUAAGCAGGGGAUGGAUUUGAAGAUGAAAAUUAUUGAGCUGAG